CCUACGGGAGGCUGCAGUGGGGAAUAUUGCACAAUGGGGGAAACCCUGAUGCAGCGACGCCGCGUGAGUGAAGAAGUAAUUCGUUACGUAAAGCUCUAUCAGCAGGGAAGAAACACUGACCUUACGGUCAGCAGACGGUACCUGAGUAAGAAGCCCCGGCUAAAUACGUGCCAGCAGCCGUGGUAAUCCGUAGGGGGCAAGCGUUAUCCGGAUUUACUGGGUGGAAAGGGAGCGUAGACGGUGCGCCAAGUCUGGAGUGAAAUGCCGCAGCUUAACUGCGGAACUGCUUUGGAAACUGGCGAACUAGAGUGCGGGAGGGGUAAGCGGAAGUCCUAGUGUAGCGGUGAAAUGCGUAGAUAUUAGGAGGAACACCGGUGGCGAAGGCGGCUUACUGGACCGUAACUGACGUUGAGGCUCGAAAGCGUGGGGAGCAAACAGGAUUAGAUACCCUAGUAGUC
rnacentral:rRNA from 1 species